rnacentral:misc_RNA from 1 species
GCAAACUUGGUCAUUUAGAGGAAGUAAAAGUCGUAACAAGGUUUCCGUAGGUGAACCUGCGGAAGGAUCAUUAACAAGAUCGAACCAAAACAAAAUAUGGACGAUCAAAUCCAUAUCCACCUUGUGUGCACUUAUUGACCGUUCGCUUUGGCAGGAGUUGUCUUGGAUCCCGGCCCCGACCCUUCUAAUUUGGAGGGGGAGAGGAGGGAUCGAAGCGCGAGGGGGGAGGGAAACCCUCCCACACCUCGGCCUGCCAGAGUUUUUCAAGAUCCACACUUUUAAACCUUUUGGACUGAACCCUCGUCUCGAUUCUUUGUAAUCGGUCGAAUCUAAUACAACUUUCAACAACGGAUCUCUUGGCUCUCGCAUCGAUGAAGAACGCAGC